UAAGAGAGCUUUAGGGUUUACAAAACUAAAGAUGAUCUAUAGGUAUACUUCACUUAGCUUUGGAUUAGGAGCAAUGAUUGUUGAGUUAUUUCCCUUAAAUUUGGCGAAAAUCUGGGCGGAGGUGUGUGGAGGGUGUGGCACUUGCAAGCCCUAGUUCAAAAUUUAUAACAAAACAAAAGUCAGAUUCGGUACUUACCGGUAUCCAAAUGUCUUGAAUUUUUUUAGGCAAAAAAUGAAAAAGGAACAAUUUAGACGAUACGCGUUUCGAGUAGUAAUAAAUAUAAUUUCUCAAUGGCUUUGGCUUAAAGACAACAAGAUAGUCGAACUGAGCCUUUAUUUUUUUUUAAACUAAAAACAAAGCCCAGUACCAAGCAUGAUUUUACACCUACCUUUCUCUUCGUAUUUUAGGAAAAACAUCCAACAUUACUAGUGGACUCCAACUGAACAACGCCAACCCCCUAUCCAAAUCCAGGCUCCGCCAUGACCCCUAUAUUUGUUUCAUGUGUGUCUAGUAUAAUCGCUAGAGUAUCAUGUUCCAACUGGGGAGCUGCCUAUGAGAUCUGUUGGGUUCCCUUUAAUAUCACCUUUGCUUUCUCUCCAAGAUUGUUAUGUGUUAUAAACAAAAUCACAGCUAGAAUUCAAAGUUUGGGCUUCUUAGUUCCUGUCCUUUGUAGAAAGGCUUCAUAUUAUCAUGUCUUUAUUGUUCAACGUUCUCCAAGAUUGUUGAACUUGUUGAAAUUAUUGACAGAAUACUGAAUUACAAAUAUCCUGAGGUUCCUCGUAACUUUUGAAUAAUUGAUGGCACCCAAUCCAAGAGUUUUGGAGGCCUUCAGAGCAAUGAAGAACUUGGGCAUUUCUCCGGAGACUGUCAGUCCGGUGCUCAAGAACCUUCUGAAACUGUAUAACAAGAAUUGGGAACUCAUUGAGGAGGAUAACUAUCGUACUCUUGCUGAUGCUAUAUUUGAGUAUGCAGAUGAUAAGAAAAGGCAAGAUAACGAGAAAGAUGCCAUGGAGUAUGAUGUGUCAGAACCUCCAUUGAAGAAAAUACACUUGGAACCGCAGGAAGAUCAGGCUUCGUCAGAACCUCCAUUGAAGAAAAUACACUUGGAACCGCAGGAAGAUCAGGCUUCGUCAACAGCGAAUAGCGGGAAUACCGUGUUGGUUCUAGAAGCUAAUGGAAUGCCACUGACUUCAAUUGCUCCAAAACUGAUGGAGUCCUCUCAGGCGCAUUCGAAAGAUAAGAAAACUGAAUCUAGUUCUCAUUCCCGUCACUCAGCUUUUAGAAACAAAGGGAAGGACCCCAUUUCUAGCUCUGGUUUGACCCAAGUAACAAAAUCAUCUUCCGAGAGGGCAUCAUCUGCCUUUCAUUCUAAUCAGGGGAGUGAUGGAAUUGGUUUUGACCAUAUGCUGAGAGAAAAGAAGCACAAAGAUUGUCUUGGUAAUGGUUUCGUGGUGCCUAAAAGAAAGCAAACUGUUCAUGACGUACCACAUUUGGCAUUACCAUCUUCUGUGGUCCAGUCAGGUAAUCCAGAGGGUUCACAUAGUUUGGGGGUUUCUCUGCAACAACCUACGAGUCGUGAUAGGAAACGGCCUUUUUGUAAAAUGCAUGCUGACAUAACGAAAGGGACUGAAAAGGUAAGGAUUUCAUUACUUGAUGAAAGUGGCAAGGAGCAGUUACCGAAUUUCAAUUAUUUGCCUGAGAACACAGUUUAUCAGAAUGCUUACAUCCAUUUCGCGUUGGCUCGGAUUGCGGAUACUGAUUGCUGUUCAAGUUGUUUAGGGGAUUGUCUUUCAUUACCUGUACCUUGUGAAUGUGCUGGUGAUACUGGGGGAGAGUUUGCCUACACAUCCGAAGGCCUGCUGAGAGAAGAAUUUCUCAAUAAGUGUAUUUCUAUGAAUGAAGCUCCUAGGGAGCAUUAUCAAGUAUAUUGCAUCGAUUGCCCAUUAGAAAGGGCUAAGAAUGAACACAUGCCUGCAAAAUGCAAGGGCCAUCUCGUGAGAAAGUUCAUCAAGGAAUGUUGGAGGAAAUGUGGCUGUGACAUGCUGUGUGGAAAUCGAGUUGUGCAGCGAGGUAUCUCACGUGAGUUGCAGGUGUUCUUGACGAAUGAAGGUAAAGGCUGGGGUCUUAGAAGCCUCCAGGACUUGCCGAAAGGUGCUUUUGUCUGCGAAUAUGUUGGGGAAAUUUUGACCAACAUGGAAUUAUAUGAGCGGAAUCAGCAAAGCAGUGGAAGUGAGAGACAUACAUACCCAGUGAUACUUGAUGCAGAUUGGGCUUCUGAGGGACUUUUGAAGGAUGAAGAAGCACUUUGCUUGGAUGCAACAUUUAAUGGGAAUGUGGCGAGAUUCAUAAAUCACAGAUGCUCUGAUGCAAAUUUGCUCGAGAUCCCUGUCGAAGUAGAGACCCCUGAUCGCCAUUAUUAUCAUCUUGCCUUUUUUACCAAAAGAAAAGUGGAUGCUCUGGAAGAACUUACAUGGGACUACGGGAUUGAUUUCUAUGAUCAUAAUCAUCCUAUCAAGGCAUUUCAAUGCUGUUGUGGAAGUGGAUUAUGUCGAGGAGUGAGGAAAAUGUUGAUCUGCUGAUGCCGAUCAAAAAAAGAGAGGUUGAUCUGCUGAUACGCUUCUGGAUCCUCUGCAAUAGGAAUACCAGCCUCAGUUUGUUCGUCAGCCAUGCAAAAACUCAUAUUGAUUGGAUAUCAGUACCCACCUGAGCAAAGCAUAAAUGUCGACAGUGACCGUCUAUUUUUCUUAUAACCAAUACCACUCGACCAGCCCUUACCGAUGUCCGAUGGACCUAAUUUUUUACAUGCGUGAUAAACACAUGGAGACAUGUAAAUGAAUGUCUUGGAUCGUCACGUUGGACCUUGGUAGGUCCUAUUUUGCGUUACAUGAGAUGAUCAUCACAUGAGAGGAUUUUGAUUUCGCUUGUAUAUAAGGCUGUGUUUAUCCUUUGUGUUUCUGCCAAAGCUGUGUUUUGAUUUUGGCUUUGUGGAGGGAUUUACAAAGAGAAGGGAAAUUGUUGGGGAACCAAAAAUAUGAAUUCGUCACUUCAUUCUCUUCUUGUCUUUUCCAUUACAGUUUCCUUUCCCUCUAUAAAUCCCUCUGCAAAUCCACGAUGGAGACACAGCCUAAAUAUUACUAUUAACUUCUCUGACAGGAACUGAAUCAAGUGCCUUUCAGAUGACCAACCGGUGAGAUACUAAGUCCUGUUCCAAGAUAUGCUGAGAAGCAUAAAAUGGAGUACAAACCUUCCUAAUGACAUUUUUUGUACUUCUGCUACUGCAGAUAUUCGUUUAGCUGCACUAUAGUGUUUUCUUUAGGAUAUUGUCGUAGAGGAUUUUCUGACAGGUGAAUAAAUUCAUGCUGGUAAUUUUCCAGGGGAAAAACAAACCUAGAUAUAAGUGAUUUUGUUGACUCUUCCAAUUGCCCUCGGCAUUUUUGUCAAGCUAUAUGUUCUUCCUCGGAAAGGGUAAUUAUCGUACUUUAGACCUAAUUCAGUAUAGCCACUACUUGGCAAUGGAAAGUACACAAGUUUCUCUC